rnacentral:rRNA from 1 species
UACAGAGGGUGCGAGCGUUGUCCGGAAUCACUGGGCGUAAAGGGCGCGUAGGCGGCUUGAUAAGCGUGCGGUGAAAGCCCGGGGCUCAACCCCGGGUCGGCCGUGCGAACUGUCGAGCUGGAGCACUGUAGAGGCAGGUGGAAUUCCGGGUGUAGCGGUGGAAUGCGUAGAGAUCCGGAAGAACACCGGUGGCGAAGGCGGUCUGCUGG